rnacentral:lncRNA from 13 species
AUGGUCCCUCAAAGUCUUAACUCAUCCAGGAUUAAGUCAAAAGUCCCAAGUCCAAGUAUAAAGUCUCAUCUGAGACAAGGCAAGUCUCUUCCACCUGUGAGCAGAAUCUCAAUGCUGCUUUUCUCUCCCGGAAGCUACAGUGAAACGAAUCCAGGAACCUGCUUUAUGGGCAAAGGGGUAAGAAUUUCUUACCCGCAGACCCCGCCCCGCCCCGUCCCCUACCCCUCCCCCAUCCGCCCCCACACCCCUUCCCCCCCCACCCGGAAAGAGAAAGCUCCCGGCCUUUCUCUCUCUGAGCACUCUGAGUUUUGACUUCACAAUAACCCUAGAUCUGACCAUGAAAUAAUAAUUAAAGAAUAACAACCACAAUCUUCGGGAAAAUCCUAAGUUCUUUUUACUGGUAGUUCUAAAAUAGACCAGCCUGACCAACAUGAAGAAAUCCUGUCUCUACUUAAAUACAAAAUUAGCCUGGCAUGGUGGCACAUGUCUGUAAUCCCAGCUACUCAGGAAGCUAGAGCAAGAAAAUCACUUGAGGAGAACGAUCCAAGAUGGCCGAUCGCUAACAUCCCGGGAUUGCAGCUCUCAGGGAAGGCGUGGAGAACUAGAGGACGCCACACUUUCAGACAAAGUCUGGUCGCUCACGGAGCAGAAGAUCCCCCAGUGGUGGAAACACACGAGUCGCCAGCGCGACUCUCGUGGCCAGCGCAGCAGUUCCUCCGGCACCUCGGCGCAGCAGCGCUCGGCGCAGAGUAAACAGGACCAGUUCCCCUUCUGACUGAGGCUUGGAGUUCCGGGAAGGCAGAGUCACCUACUACGGACACAAGAAGGAAGCCAGACAGGAGAAUCCUGGGCAGAAAAGCACCAUCAGUCUUAACGCCGCUGCUCUGGUCCUGGGAACUAACAACCUGGACGUCCACUCAAGAGACCUAAUCUGAAAGUUGGUAAUUUCAAAGACGACAGGAGGAUAAAUUUACAAUGAUGGGAAGAAACCAGCGUAAAAAAGCUGAGAAUACUCAAAGUCAGAACGCCUCUCCCUCUAAAGAUGAUCACAGUUCCACAUCGACAAUGGAACAAGGCUUGAUGGAGAA